rnacentral:rRNA from 1 species
ACACUGACGUCGCGACGCAUAUCAAUAAGCGGAGGAAAAGAAACUAACAAGGAUUCCCUCAGUAACGGCGAGUGAAGCGGGAAGAGCUCAAAUUUGAAAUCUUCAAGGUUUUACCUUGACGAAUUGUAGUUUAAAGAAGUGUUUUCUGUUGAAGUUUUGGUAAAAGUUCUUUGGAAUAGGACAUCAUAGAGGGUGAGAAUCCCGUAUUUGACCAUUUACUCUUCAACUUUGUGAUACACUUUCAAAGAGUCGGAUUGUUUGGGAAUGCAGUCCAAAAUGGGUGGUAAAUUUCAUCUAAAGCUAAAUAUUGGCGAGAGACCGAUAGCGAACAAGUACCGUGAGGGAAAGAUGAAAAGAACUUUGAAAAGAGAGUUAAACAGUACGUGAAAUUGUCAAAAGGGAAGCGUUUGACACCAGUGUUGUUCUUCUGAAAAUCAAUUAAAGAACUGUUUAUGCUAAGUUGUUUAGACUUUAUCAGCUAACUGUUUAGUUUUGAGCUUUUCUUUAAUGCACUUUUCAGUUAACAAGUCAACAUCAAUUUCUUUUGCUGUAAAAAAGCUUGAGGAAGGUGGCUUGAGAUUCGUCUUAAGUGUUUAUAGCCUCUUGCCUAUGCAGUCGGAGAGAUUGAGGUCUGCAGCGUAGAUCCUUCGGGGCUAAAUGCAUUUGUGCUAAGUUAUAGCAUUUUAUAGACAACUUGUUGACUAUGAUUUGUCUUGUAGCUUACUCGCUUAUGUUAUUUUACCUACGCUUAGGAUGUUGACGCAUGAGAUAUACGC